rnacentral:rRNA from 1 species
UACGGAGGGUGCAAACGUUGCUCGGAAUCAUUGGGCGUAAAGCGCACGUAGGCGGUCUGCUAUGUCGGGUGUGAAAUCCCUCGGCUUAACCGAGGAAGUGCAUUCGAAACUGGCAGACUUGAAUACUCAAGAGGGUCUCGGAAUUUACGGUGUAGCAGUGAAAUGCGUAGAGAUCGUAAGGAAGACCAGUGGCGAAGGCGGGUCUCUGGACAGUUCCUGACACUGAGGCACGAAGGCCAGGGGAGCAAACGGG